rnacentral:rRNA from 1 species
UACGUAGGGGGCAAGCGUUGUCCGGAAUCAUUGGGCGUAAAGGGCUCGUAGGUGGCCAACUAAGUCAGACGUGAAAUCCCCUCGGCUUAACCGGGGAACUGCGUCUGAUACUGGAUGGCUUGAGUUUGGGAGAGGGACGCGGAAUUCCAGGUGUAGCGGUGAAAUGCGUAGAUAUCUGGAGGAACACCGGUGGCGAAGGCGGCGUCCUGGACCAACACUGACAC